UACAGCAACAUCCCUGCUGGGAGCAGACAGGUGGAGGUGGAGAAACAGGCCUCGUUCACCCCACGAGAGCUCGAGAUGAGAAGACGGGAGGAUGAGUACAGGUUCACCAAACUACUUCAGAUAGCAGGA